AGAGCAUUUCACAUGGGAACACUGAAGAUACUCACAAUCAAUCUGGCCAUGUAUAGUGGGGAUGAAAUGAGUAUGAAAAACAGCCCAGAGCAGGGAAAGGAAUGAACUCCAUGAAAUGGGUCUGCUCCAGGAUUCUAUGGGCUUCCCUGUAUUCACAAACUCUACAUUCCUUUCCGGACUAUUGUGAGUUUCCCAACAUUCCUUAAUGUACUAUAAAACUAUUAAGUGGAAAUCGUCACUGAUGAGGACCUUGUUCGUUACAAUGUUUGCAGUUACCGCUGCCCAAGCCAUCGUGAAGAGGAAUAAGCAGCUGAACAAAAGAACCAAGCUCAGUACUGCUCAACUGUUAUGUUUACUGGAAUUCAGCCUUAAUACUGCACAUACUUGUUCCAGUGACAUUUCUACAGGCAGUUUAGUGGAACCAGAAUGGGUGCAGCUGUCUGUGACAGCCACAAGCCUCACCAGUGGAAUGAUAAAAGCAAUGGCUGCAGAAGGCAUUCAUUAGAUAUUUUGACGAUUGCCUUUGCAUCAUGAAGUCUGUAGUGGAUAGUUUUCUAGCCCGCUCCCAUUCCACAGGCAAGGCCUUCCAGUUAACUAAGGAACAUAAAUAACUUGCCUUUCCUCAAUGUCUUGGGGAAGUGACAAAUGGAGUAAAUUACCUUUGUGGUAUGCCAAAAACCUAUGCACACUGGCCCAUACCUUCUUAACUCAAAACACCUGAUGAUUCACAAGGGUUAAGUGGUUUUAACAUGUCUGUCCUGCACAUAGAAGCAUCUGCAGCUCGGACGAAAAGGCUGUAAUUGCAGACCUCUAAAAGAGUGAUUAUUCAGCAAACAUUAGUUGCUGCACAGUGUGAUGAUGCAGCUGUUCAUCCUCCUCUGUUGAACCUUCCUCCAGCUAUAACAAUGAGUAGCUCACCCUCAUUACUCUAUGAAGAUUGCUUUAUAAAGGUCUCAUUGCUGCCUGAACAUUGUUUACAUCAGCAGGUAAGCUGAACACAGUCGUUCAUGGCAAUGAAGACCUGCACAUGCUUUGCAAGACAUUGGCACCAGUGCUGCUGCUCCCAUGCUGACAUUACAAGCAGCAAGUGCAAAAUGGCCAAUAGAAGUCAUCCAUUCGAGGGCAUGGAUAAUGAGUGUGCACACCAACCUUUAAAAUUGUUUGCAGAAAAACUACCCAACACCGAGUUGUGUGGUUUGGUGCAUAUAUUGCAAAAGUGCACUAAAUAAUGUAUAAAUAUUUCAUUAAAACAAGUGCAAAAAAAAAAAAAA